rnacentral:rRNA from 1 species
AUUGAACGCUGGCGGCAGGCCUAACACAUGCAAGUCGAGCGGCAGCACGGGUACUUGUACCUGGUGGCGAGCGGCGGACGGGUGAGUAAUGCCUAGGAAUCUGCCUAGUAGUGGGGGAUAACGUCCGGAAACGGGCGCUAAUACCGCAUACGUCCUACGGGAGAAAGUGGGGGAUCUUCGGACCUCACGCUAUUAGAUGAGCCUAGGUCGGAUUAGCUAGUUGGUGAGGUAAUGGCUCACCAAGGCGACGAUCCGUAACUGGUCUGAGAGGAUGAUCAGUCACACUGGAACUGAGACACGGUCCAGACUCCUACGGGAGGCAG